AACGAACGCUGGCGGCAUGCCUAACACAUGCAAGUCGAACGAGACCUUCGAGUCUAGUGGCGCACGGGUGCGUAACGCGUGGGAACCUGCCCUUAGGUUCGGAAUAACUCCCCGAAAGGGGUGCUAAUACCGGAUAAUGUCUUCGGACCAAAGAUUUAUCGCCUUUGGAUGGGCCCGCGUUGGAUUAGCUAGUUGGUAGGGUAAAAGCCUACCAAGGCGACGAUCCAUAGCUGGUCUGAGAGGAUGAUCAGCCACACUGGGACUGAGACACGGCCCAGACUCCUACGGGAGGCAGCAGUGGGGAAGAUUGGACAAUGGGCGAAAGCCUGAUCCAGCAAUGCCGCGUGAGUGAUGAAGGCCUUAGGGUUGUAAAGCUCUUUUACCCGGGAUGAUAAUGACAGUACCGGGAGAAUAAGCUCCGGCUAACUCCGU
rnacentral:rRNA from 1 species